CAGAAGAAAAAAAAGCCCUAGGUACCCAGACUUUUCAAGUACGCUGGCGCGCUCCCUCGCUCACUACAUCUGUCUGCUUCCUCACUGCCUCUCCCUCUGUUCCAAACCGGCGCUAGCCCUCCCUUUCCAACGGCACUACUUCUCCGGCCGCUCCUAAUUAACAGCUAUAUUUAUCAUUUCAACUGCGACAAUCUCAGCAAUUGUUGCUGCUCCCAUAGCUGCAGACUUGGGAUAUGGCCAGUGGCGUAUGACUUUAAACUUUCUUCUCCCACCCUGUUUGCCCGCUCCAUCUCUGAGAAGUACUAUGGCCAUGCCCACUGCUUGUCUCUGCUCUAACAGCCUGUUUGGUUCGCCGGGAAAUUUUUUCCGAGGAACAAAUUUUCCUUAAAUUUGAGAAAAAUUGAAUUUUCUUGUGUUUGGUUCAUGAAAAAUAUUUUUCACCUGGAAUUUUUUUUCCUCAAAUAUGAGGAAAAAAAAUUCUUAGCUCAACAUUGGUAUCUUUUUUUUCUAUGGGCAUUGGGAACAAAUUAUCAUUUUUAGGACAAUUUUGCCCUCAGAACUUUUUUAAUUACCCUAAUAAUUUUUAUUAUUUU